GACGAACGCUGGCGGCGUGCCUAAUACAUGCAAGUCGAACGCAGUGGGGACGGGUGAGUAACACGUGGGUAACCUGCCAGAAGAGGGGAUAACACUUGGAAACAGGUGCUAAACCGAUACUGAUGGAUGGAGCAGCGGUGCAUUAGCUAGUCGGUGGGGUAACGGCUCACCAAGGCCACGAUGCCUAGCCGACCUUAGAGGAUGAUCGGCCACACUGGGACUGAGACACGGCCCAGACUCCUACGGGAGGCAGCAGUAGGGAAUCUUCGUCAAUGGACGCAAGUCUGACCGAGCCACGCCGCGUGAGUGAAGAAGGUUUUCGGAUCGUAAAGCACUGUUGUUAGGGAAGCGGUAUCUAACCAGAAAGCCACGGCUAACUACGUGCCAGCAGCCGCGGUAAUAC
rnacentral:rRNA from 1 species